UUUCCAAGAACCAUGGAGAUUUUGAGUCGUCCCACUUCCCCUUCCCAAUGGGACGCCGUACAGAGCCUCACAUCAUCCUACCAGUGUUUACCUGACGUUGACCCACCAGAGAGUCUACGCAUUCUCAGUGGCACCGAGGUUUGCCUUGCUUACUGCCUUGAGAAGUUCAGGAGAGACAGUGCUUGUGAAAGUUUGCCCGGGACUCCCAGGUUGAAGAUCAUGAGCAUGCCCUGAUGAGCCAAGGCAUGCAACCACAGGGGAACCUAAGUGCUUGGACUGAGGAGUGGGGACUGAAAUAAGAAGCGGACACUGCAGGGCAGGAUCAGGAUCCAAUCAGAUCGAGCCCUGGCAUCACCUCAUGGCAGGAUCUAGUCAGAUCGUGGCUUUUGACAUCACUUCAUUGUGAAAUCCAAUCAGAUCACACCUUAUUACCCUAUCCUUAUAAAACCGGACCUAGCCCCCAGCUCGAGGAGGCACUGCUUUGGGAGUUAUCCCAGGUGUUCUUGUUACUAGUUGCAAGGAAUAAAAUCCUCUUGCUAAAUCCUCCUUGGUUGUGCAGAUGUUGGCAUGGAUGUGGAGAGAAGGGAACACUUACGCUUUGUUGGUGAGGAUGUAAAUUAGCUCAACUCUGUGAUAAACAGUAUGGAGAGUUUUCAAAGAACUAAAAAUAGAACUUCUACUCAACCCAGCAAUCCUAUGAGUGCAUGAGUGGGUAUCUACCCAAAGGAA
rnacentral:lncRNA from 1 species